UGAUCCUGGCUCAGGAUGAACGCUGGCGGCGUGCCUAAUACAUGCAAGUCGAACGCGGGCACAUGUGCCCGAGUGGCGAACGGGUGAGUAAUACAUAAGUAACCUGGCCUUUACAGGGGGAUAACUGCUGGAAACGGUAGCUAAGACCGCAUAGGUACGGACACUGCAUGGUGACCGUAUUAAAAGUGCUGCAAGGCACUGGUAGAGGAUGGACUUAUGGCGCAUUAGCUGGUUGGUGAGGUAACGGCUCACCAAGGCGACGAUGCGUAGCCGACCUGAGAGGGUGACCGGCCACACUGGGACUGAGACACGGCCCAGACUCCUACGGGAGGCAGCAGUAGGGAAUUUUCGGCAAUGGGGGGAACCCUGACCGAGCAACGCCGCGUGAAGGAAGAAGGAAUUCGUUCUGUAAACUUCUGUUAUAAAGGAAGAAAGGCGGAUGAAGGAAAUGACAUCCGAGUGACGGUACUUUAUGAGAAAGCCACGGCUAACUACGUGCCAGCAGCCGCGGUAAUACGUAGGUGGCAAGCGUUAUCCGGAAUUAUUGGGCGUAAAGAGGGAGCAGGCGGCAGCAAAGGUCUGUGGUGAAAGACUGAAGCUUAACUUCAGUAAGCCAUAGAAACCAGGCAGCUAGAGUGCAGGAGAGGAUCGUGGAAUUCCAUGUGUAGCGGUGAAAUGCGUAGAUAUAUGGAGGAACACCAGUGGCGAAGGCGACGAUCUGGCCUGUAACUGACGCUCAGUCCCGAAAGCGUGGGGAGCAAAUAGGAUUAGAUACCCUAGUAGUCCACGCCGUAAACGAUGAGGACCAAGUGUUGGGGGUGAAACCUCAGUGCUGAAGUUAACGCAGUGAGUCCUCCGCCUGGGGAGUAUGCACGCAAGUGUGAAACUCAAAGGAAUUGACGGGGGCCCGCACAAGCGGUGGAGCAUGUGGUUUAA
rnacentral:rRNA from 1 species